rnacentral:rRNA from 1 species
CCAAUAGCGUAUAUUAAAGUUGUUGCAGUUAAAAAGCUCGUAGCUGAAUUUCAGGCCUGGCUGGACGGCCCGCCCUCCGGGUGAGUACUGUCUGUGGUCGGGUCCUACCUUCUGGCGAAGCGUCAUGGCCUUAACCGGCCGUGGCGGGGAACCAGGACUUUUACUGUGAAAAAAUUAGAGUGUUCAAAGCAGGCAAUCGCUUGGAUACAUUAGCAUGGAAUAAUGGAAUAGGACAAUGGUUCUAUUUGUUGGUUUCUAGGACCGUUGUAAUGAUUAAUAGGGAUAGUUGGGGGCAUUAGUAUUCAAUUGUCAGAGGUGAAAUUCUUGGAUUUAUUGAAGACUAACUACUGCGAAAGCAUUUGCCAAGGAUGUUUUCAUUAAUCAAGAACGAAAGUUAGGGGAUCGAAGACGAUCAGACACCGUCGUAGUCUUAACCAUAAACUAUGCCGACUAGGAAUCGGGCGAUGUUGAAAAAAUGACGCGCUCGGCACCUCAUG